CUGCAUCGCUCUGCCCUAAGGGGCAGCAACCUUUUGUCUCCCGCUGGAUGUGUUUCUCGGCCGCCGCGGCCUUCACACCUCCUCUCGGCUGAAUCCUGGCGGCCGCUGCCCAGCUCCCGGAACCCCUCACCCUGAAUUUUCCUCCGAAGUGGGCGAACCUCCUGGCCGCGGCCGCGAUUCCUGCUCGAACCAAAGAAAGGGACCUGCUCCGGCUACAGGAGAAGCUUCUCCGUCUUGGAGAUGCACGGCAAGGUGGAGGACUCCUCUGACAACCAUCUAGAGGACGAUAACCCCAAGAAGGAGGGCUGCACCCGAGACAUGCAGAAGAUCCCCAGGCUGGGGUUGAAUCGAAGCUGCAGCUCCUGGCCUGCCCACAGCCACAUGGGAUCCAGGCUAUGUCUGCAGCCUACACCAUGGCUCAUGGCAACGCCAGAUCCUUAAUCCACUGAGCAAGACCCGGGAUCGAACCUGAGUCCUCAAGGAUACCAGUUAUAUCCUUAAUCCGCUGAGCCACAACAGGAACUCCAGGAAAAUGUUUUGAAAUAAAGGAAUUGUCUACUUGGGCAGACAAGUUUAAUGCGGUUCUUGAACUUGAGUAAUUUUCUAGUCGGAACCUUGACUGAUUGAUGGAUUAUCUACGAAAUUAUUGAACUCAUUUACUCGGUUUCUGAAGAAUCCAGCGCACAGAUUAAAUUACGUUGCUGUCCAGGGCACAACCAGAAGUGAGAGGUAAAGCCUUCUGCUACGGGUUCCUCGGUCAGUAGUGAUCAGGGAAUGGCAAUUUAGUUUUUCAGUUUCCCCAUGGAUGCGUCCACUGUUGGCCGUUAUAAAUGGUUCUGAAAUGAACAUCUUUUAUACCACACUCUUGUGCAUCUUUAAUGAUCUCCUUAGAAUAAAUGGAUCAAAGCUGAAUGAUCGGA
rnacentral:lncRNA from 1 species